CCUACGGGGCGCAGCAGUGGGGGAUAUUGCACAAUGGGGGAAACCCUGAUGCAGCGACGCCGCGUGAGCGAUGAAGUAUUUCGGUAUGUAAAGCUCUAUCAGCAGGGAAGAAAAUGACGGUACCUGACUAAGAAGCCCCGGCUAACUACGUGCCAGCAGCCGCGGUAAUACGUAGGGGGCAAGCGCUAUACGGAUUUACUGGGUGGAAAGGGAGCGUAGACGGCAGGGCAAGUCUGAAGUGAAAGGCAAGGGCUCAACCCUUGGACUGCUUGGGAAACUGUGCUGCUCGCGAGUCGGAACGGCAG
rnacentral:rRNA from 1 species